rnacentral:lncRNA from 1 species
UUUUUGGUACCAGGGAUUGAGCCAUAUCCCAGCCCUUUAAAUAUUUUAUUUACAGACAGGGUCUCAUUGUUGAUUAGAGCCUCACUGAGUUGCUGAGGCUGGCUUUGAACUUGCAGUCCUCCUGCCUCAGCCUCCCAAACCCUGGGAUUAUAGGCGUACAACACCAUACCUGGUUAGAAGAAUUCUUACUUCUUCAAUAUUUUUUUUAAUAGUUCAAUGAAUGUUGACUAUAAAAGAAGAGGGAAAAUGUAUUUGUUUUAAAACCACUUUUUGCACUUUAGGCUUCAGUUUUGCAAAAUUGUUUAGAGGGGGCCCAGCAUUCUCAAAAAGGAGGUUCGUAGUUUCUGAUAUUACUUUAUCCUGAUUUUAUAGAGGCUUAUUGUUUUUGUCUGACACAGAAUGUGAAUUUAGACAUUUUAGCUGUAAAACUUGGGCUCCUAACCAGUUGAUAACACUGUCUCUCAAUACUUUCCCAUUCAUUUAGUCAAAAAAUAUUUAUUGAGCACCUGCUAUGUGCCAGGCCUUGUUCUGAGUAUGAGGACCACCAGUGAUGUGGCCUCUGACCUUAGGGAACUGACAUUCUCCUGGGGGACACAGAUGAUAACCAGGGUGGAUAUGUGAUGUGUCGUGAUGAUGAAAGCUAUGAGGAAGCAUGAGAAUAAGAUUAGGGGACUGGGCACAGUGGCACUAACCUG